rnacentral:rRNA from 1 species
GAUGAACGCUGGCGGCGUGCUUAACACAUGCAAGUCGAACGAUGAAGCCCAGCUUGCUGGGUGGAUUAGUGGCGAACGGGUGAGUAACACGUGAGUAACCUGCCCUUAACUCUGGGAUAAGCCUGGGAAACUGGGUCUAAUACCGGAUAGGAGCGUCCACCGCAUGGUGGGUGUUGGAAAGAUUUAUCGGUUUUGGAUGGACUCGCAGCCUAUCAGCUUGUUGGUGAGUAAUGGCUCACCAAGGCGACGACGGGUAGCCGGCCUGAGAGGGUGACCGGCCACACUGGGACUGAGACACGGCCCAGACUCCUACGGGAGGCAGCAGUGGGGAAUAUUGCACAAUGGGCGCAAGCCUGAUGCAGCGACGCCGCGUGAGGGAUGACGGCCUUCGGGUUGUAAACCUCUUUCAGUAGGGAAGAAGCGAAAGUGACGGUACCUGCAGAAGAAGCACCGGCUAACUACGUG